rnacentral:rRNA from 1 species
AGGGCACCACCAGGAGUGGAGCCUGCGGCCUAAUUUGACUCAACACGGGAAAACUCACCCGGCCCGGACACCGUAAGGAUUGACAGAUUGAGAGCUCUUUCUUGAUUCGGUGGUUGGUGGUGCAUGGCCGUUCUUAGUUGGUGGAGCGAUUUGUCUGGUUUAUUCCGAUAACGAACGAGACUCUGGCCUACUAAAUAGAGACAGGAUUAUUACUGUCUUGGAUUCUUCUUAGAGGGACAAGUGGUUUUCAGCCACACGAAAUUGGGCAAUAACAGGUCUGUGAUGCCCUUAGAUGUCCGGGGCUGCACGCGCGCUACACUGAAGGAAUCAGCGUGCUAAAACCAUUGUCGAAAGGCAUUGGUAAACCCAUUAAAAUCCUACGUGAUUGGGAUCGGGAAUUGCAAUUAUUUCCCUUGAACGAGGAAUUCCCAGUAAGUGUGGGUCAUAAGCUCGCGUUGAUUACGUCCCUGCCCUUUGUACACACCGCCCGUCGCUGCCCGGGACUGAGCCGUUUCGAGA